AUACGUAGGUGACAAGCGUUAUCCGGAUUUACUGGGCGUAAAGGGCGUGUAGGCGGUCUUGCAAGUCAGAAGUGAAAUUCCUGAGCUCAACUCGGGCGCUGCUUCUGAAACUGCAGGACUUGAGUGCUGGAGGGGAUAGCGGAAUUCCUAGUGGAGCGGUAAAAUGCGCAGAUAUUAGGAAGAACACCGGUGGCGAAGGCGGCUAUCUGGACAGUAACUGACGCUGAGGCGCGAAAGCGUGGGGAGCAAACAGGAUUAGAUACCCUGGUAGUCCACGCUGUAAACGAUGAAUACUAGGUGUAGGGGGUAUCGACUCCCUCUGUGCCGCAGUUAACACAAUAAGUAUUCCGCCUGGGGAGUACGGUCGCAAGGUUGAAACUCAAAGGAAUUGACGGGG
rnacentral:rRNA from 1 species